UUGCGCAGUAUAGGUGGGAGGCGAAGAAGAUAUGUUUGCGGAUGUAUAUGAGCCAAUAGUGAGAUACCACUCUAAUUAAACUAGGAUUCUAAUAUUGAUUGCCAUAAGCUGGCCAAUAAACAGUUUCUGGUGGGCAGUUUGACUGGGGCGGUCGCCUCCUAAAAAGUAACGGAGGCGUGCAAAGGUUUCUUCAGGCUGGUCGGAAAUCAGUCGCAGAGUGUAAAGGCAUAAAGAAGCUUGACUGCAAGACUUACAAGUCGAGCAGAGACGAAAGUCGGCCUUAGUGAUCCGACAGUUCUG
rnacentral:rRNA from 1 species